GCGAGGCAGGGCCGGAGAAGGCGACCGGAGCCGAGUCCAAAACUAGGGAAGGAGGAAGGAUGGAUGGGGGAACGGAGGAGAGCGCGGGACCCGCCAGGGCUCAGGCCCUUGCGGGGCCGGGCCGGGCCGGGCCAAGGAUGCCGGCAGGACAAGGGGGCGCCUGAGAAGCCGGGGCGACGGCGCCGCAGGCUGGAGGGCGGGGUGCACGCCUGCUGCCUGGGGACCAGGUGCUGUUGACCAGGUCCUGUUAUCCCCAUCCUUCUCGGGGAUGUGCGGCCUGGGCUGGGUCCCCCGCAGUGAGGAUAAGGGCGGCGGCGGAGGGCCGGGUGGCGCGGCGCGGCGCUGUGCGGGAAGGUCGCCGGUUUCUCCUGCGGUGGGACGACGGGGGCCGAGAUUUGCUGCUCCCCGCGCCGUUCCCUGGGAAAAGCUAGCAUCUCCCCAGCCCACCAUGGCGGAUGAAAUUGAUUUCACCACUGGAGAUGCUGGGGCUUCCAGCACUUACCCAAUGCAGUGCUCGGCCCUGCGCAAAAACGGCUUCGUGGUUCUCAAAGGACGACCAUGCAAAAUAGUGGAGAUGUCAACUUCCAAAACUGGAAAGCACGGUCAUGCCAAGGUUCACCUUGUUGGAAUUGAUAUUUUCACGGGCAAAAAAUAUGAAGAUAUUUGUCCCUCUACUCACAACAUGGAUGUUCCAAAUAUUAAGAGAAAUGAUUAUCAACUCUGUGGGCCUUUUCAGUUAUAUUUAUUGUGCUGUGGUGGUCUUCAUGCACGUAUCCAUGCCAAAUAUGUACAAGCUGAUAUGUAUUCAGGAUGGUUACUUAUCCCUGCUGACAGAAACCGGUGAAGUUCGUGAGGAUCUUAAGCUGCCGGAAGGUGAACUAGGUAAAGAGAUAGAAGGAAAAUACAAUGCAGGUGAAGAUGUACAGGUGUCUGUUAUGUGUGCAAUGAGUGAAGAAUAUGCUGUAGCCAUAAAGCCCUGCAAAUAAAUGGGAGCAUCAGGCAUGAGCAAAAUGUUAGGUCUGGAUCAACCACAGAUCUAAAGUUUGGGUCUAAGUUGUCACCAAAGCUAUGGCCUUCAUAAGCCACCUCAUUUUUUUAAAUUGUUUUGAAAUUGUACUCAGUUUUGUAGGCAAUUGGUAAUUUAAAAUCAUCAAGUUUGUAAUUCUUUUUUUUUUUUUUUUUAAUUUUGUAGGUGUCUUUCCUAUAACUUUCCUGUGGUUUUCAGUGAGUACAAGAAAUAGAUAAGAUGGCUUCAGCAGAUAUGAUUUGUCUGAGCAAAUCAUUCCUGAAUUUUAGUUGAUAGAUAAACCAGGGCUUAAAAUCAGACAAUGUAGCAUCUAGUGGUAUCAAAGUACCACAUUUAAGUUGAAUUGUUCUGCAUUAAUUUCAGACCUAAUAUAGAAUGAGUUGAUUAUGGAUUGGAAUUGUCACAGUUUCAGCCUGUGUGUGGCAAGCACAAAUCCUUAACCAAAAAUCAUGUUAUCAAAAAGUGUCAGUUUUCUUAGUAGGCAUGUGCAGCCACCUGUAUUACCUCAGUCAUACUUUCCUUUGCCAAAUUGUUGCAAGACUAAACAUAACCUUAUAUGUAGUGAUUUUGCUACCUGCUCAUAGUUGACAGACAUUGAACUAUAGGUUGAGUGUUAUUAGCAAGUCAGAUUACAAAGGAGGAGUCUACAGGGGACAGUGGCAAAGGGGAUUGGUUAGAGCCAUAGGUUUUUACUUGAGGCCUGUGUAACUGGCAUAAAAAUAGAAAGUUUCUUUCUAGUUAUGUUUUUGCUUUUUGUUCUCUCUCUGUAUUUAAAGGAGUGACCUGCUUUAUAGGAUGCUAUGCAGUGCUCUUUAUCAAUAUGUUGAAUAAAUUGUUGGUAUUUAUAGUAGUCCCUCCUUUCCAACCAUUUUUAAGUACAUUUUUUGGCAUUAAAAUAUUUAGUUGUCCAGCAAAACUGGAUAUUCUUUAAAUUGAUUUGGAAUAUUUGUUAAAUUUAUGUACACUUUUUCUAAAGUGAAUUGAAAGUGCAUCAUGGAGCAAGAGUUACUUUCUGUGAUGAUUAUUUUUCUUACUUUGAGAAGUACAUAUAUUUUUUUCUGAUUGUUAUGUACUUAAUUCGGUUACCAGUGUGAAACAUAACUAGGAAAGAAUCCUAAAAACUGAAUAAUUUUAAAAAGUGUUUUAGGUGACUCAGCUACAUUUCUCUUCGUAUAUCUUAUUUCCAGGAUUCUAGACACUGUCACAGGGUUUGCAAGGACCUUUGACUUAAAAACAAUCAUUAUAUUGAAAUUAAACUUAGAACAAAAUCACUACUUCAGUAAUCAUUCUCUAAGACUGAUUAUGAGACCUUUCUCAUCAUGCCUUGACCUCUGAAAGACCUUUGUUCCUAUCAUCUGGAGGAAAACAUAUAUGAUGCUGUAACCGAUCUAAUCAGUAACUAAAAAUAGUAUUAGGCACUUGAUCUUAGCCAAAAGGCCGAGAAGCGAUACUGAAAAUAGUAUUAGGAACAGAAGAUCCCAAAGGUUUAGUUACUUAAUUUGUGCACAUUUUUAAAUCUUGUAUAGGCCUCAGCAAACCCAUUUGGAGAAGAAAACAGGAUACUUAAGAGAAAUGCAAGGAGAAUUCUAAAGCACAAGAAAUAUAGAGGUUAUAGUUAACCAUUUUAGCGUAACAUCUUAGCUUUUGCCCAUCUGAAGCACAAUUAGGAAUUAGGCUAAAUUCUUUCCAGUAUUCCAUCUAAGUAUCUACUUCAUACUGCUCUAGUGUUUUAGUAGUCUGUUCUGUGCGUUUUACUUGUUACUGGUUGGCAUUGUUAUCCACAGGAAUUCCAGGAAGUUCUCAAUCUGUGCUGCUUGCUGGUCACUCACAUGACCCCAGUUAACCAUACUAGUGUUCUGGUUUACUGUUAAUUCUGGAUUAGCAUGCCCUUGUUGUUCCUAACUUGUCAAACUUCACAUAAAUACAUUUCAGUUGUGAGGUAAGCAUAUGUGAAUUAUAAUGCAUCUCUAUCUUCAUACCUUGAAUGGCAAAAGCUAUUUAUGCAUAAAUAUUUUAAGUACCAUAAUGAAAUGUAAAUACUCUUCUGAUAUAUAAGUAUAAGUAUAGAUUUUAAAGAUAUGGGACUGUUUAUUUUCACAUAAGUCAGUACAUGUUUCUCUAGAACAAAAUAUUUCAUUUAGUAAAGCUUUAUAAAUUGUAUUAAAAGGAAGCAGGUAAACGUAUUUUUUAACAUAGAACAGCAGUAACUUCAUUCUUUUUGACAUCAGAAAUAUUAAAAGUUGAUUCCUAGUAUUUGUUGUACUUUUUUGUAGCAAAUGUUAAAUAUCACAGGUUACCAUGUAUAGAGUGUAGACUGUCAUGUUGAUAGAUUAUAUGAUGAUACACCAUUUUUGUCGGCAGGCAUUUCACCAAUUUGUAUACAAUAUUAACAAGUGGAAUAUUUGUUUCUUUCUAGAGCAACAUAUUUUAUUUCUACUGUGAAGACUUUGUUAUACCUUAUUUGCUACUACAAAGUUGAAUACCCUCUGAAAUAGAUCAAAUCAUUGCUACUUUGACUUAGCAUUUGCGUCAUAAACAUAAUUAUGAUGUUUCAUUCUCCCCUCCAAGGGCUGUCUGUCACUUGAAAUUGUUGCUAACCAAGCUCUUGAAUCCGUUACCAUUUAUGGUACAAAAUUCUGUACCAAUGCUUUAUAACAAUUACCAAAACUCUCCUGCAGCCAGAGCAUGAUAUCUUUAAUAGGAGAUGCUAUAAUAAAAUGUUUAGGCUAUAAAAUUUGGGGACACAAUUUUUCAUUAUAGCACAAUGUGGAGUGUGUGCAUAUGCACACCCAGCUUUGUAUGUUUGUUCUUUUUACAAAGUCCUUUCAACUCUUAAAAGUACUGUAGUCUGGUAGUGCCUCAAAUGUUGUGACUUUUUUUUUUUAAUUUACAACUUUUCCAGAAUUUGUUUUUGUAACUUUAAAGUUUCUCAAUUAGAUUAUUUCUAGUUGAGCUGUAAUUUGAAUGCAUUGUUCUCAGGGCUGUUUGUGCUAAGAGCUGAAGUUGCAUUAUUUUAAAGCUGCCUGAAAGUAUAUUGCCAAAUUUUCCCAAAUUGUAAUACAAUGAUAACAUGCAAAUAAAAAUCCUUAAUAUCAAAAUACUUAACCUAAGUAUUAAAACAAAAUGGGAACAUUGAUAACAUCUAUACUGAAAUCUUGCCAUAUAGUUUUCAUUGUAGAAUAGACUUUGGUAGUCUUAUCUUAGAACCCAAACCUUAAUGAUCUAUCUGAAAGCAUUUCUUUGGCAUGGACCCCAAAGAUAGUUUUUAGAGCCAGACAAAUAGGUAGUGGUUCUCAAACAUAUCUAGGGACAACAGAUCAAAAAUUCAUAAUGCUCUUUGGGUACAUGAAAAUGUUUACAUACUGAAUUCUAUAAUAUGAACCACAAACAAAUUUACUAUGAGAAAAUAUGGCUCUUAAGCAGUAUAAGAGCAAACUCUGAGCAUAUUUCCAUAAACCGUAUGUUAUAUUGAACUGAUCAACAGUUGAAAAUUUUCUAACUUUACUUAGGCAUAAUAUUUUAUAGUUUUUAAGCCUUUUUUUCUCCUAGCAUUCAGACAAGUAAUAGACAACAAAGGCUUAUGAAAAAUUUAUUGUGGAAAAUCUUAAAAUUGAGAAAAUUCAAUCUAUUAACUUUAAUCUAUUAAAUUUGUUUUCUCUGAACUGGAUAUAUGGCAUCAUUAUUUGAUUUUAGCGGGAACAUUUGGAUUUAGCUUAUGGAACACAGAUGUUCUGUGAGAACAUGACUUGAAGUCACUAUAUAAUUUAAUGUUUCUCCAUUAAGUAUACAUCUGAACAUCAAUUUAACUACCAAGUGAGGUCAAGUGCCUGAAAAGUGCUAUCUACAUCUAAUUAGCAUGUUUUCCUUGUGUGAAAGAGGCAUCUUAUAGCAAUGCAUAUCGAGCUUUCUUUCACCUGCUAGAAACAUACGUGUUGCCAAACUUUACCAACCACUACUAUUCCUCUCGCCUUAGAAUUGGAUGGAACCUAUUUUACAAUUGAGAGAGAGGUUAUUUUAUUUAUAUGAAGUCCCUAAAACUAUUUCUUGGUAUUGGUAGACUUAGGUUCAUCUUAGUUCAUGAUUGUAUUUUUUAAAAACUCUGGACACCAAACUAUAUUCAGUGAUGACUGUACAGCUUGUCAUAAGUCAUAAUUGUGGUCUUUCUUGAAAGGAAUUCUUUAUUAUGGUUAAUACCUACUAUAAAUGAGCACUCUUGUGCUCGUUACAAAAUACAAUGCCCAUUACUAGUUCUAUGCUAGUAUAAUGAAAAUGGCUAGUUCCAUAUUAUCAUGUACUUGUGUUCUCCUCUCCAAAAAGGAAAUAGUUGAAAUGGCAUUGUCUAAUCCAGUGGCACUUUAUUAGUAAUACAUUUUUAUUUGUCUUAGGUACAGGAGAAUUCUUGCUUUUAUCUACAGAGACUCAUGUUUUAGCUAAAACUUUAAAAUUAUAAGAUAUGUAGUAUGAGUAUUAUAAUUGUGUAUUUUACAUCUCAAAAAUGGGUAAAAUUCAAAUGUCUUUGGGUAUACUAAAUUAUUAAAAUCCUUUACAUUGUAGAUGAUAUACAUCAAUUAUAACUUUUUGUUACAUUAAAAUAUAUUUGUCUGGUAACUUCAUCAGCUAUAUUAAAUAAACAUAAAGUUAACUUAA